rnacentral:lncRNA from 1 species
UGGCACCGAAAAGGAGUGCGAGCUAAGCAAGGAGCAGGACAACAUGUGGCAGCAAUAUUGAAAAUAAGAUAUCAUGGUACAAUUAUCAUUUCCCCCCUUUUGUCUGUGAGAGAAAACCUAUUUUAUAUAUGGAUGUGUAAUAUCUAAUCUGACUCAGCUGAAUCAAUUUUCAAAACUCAAUAUCGUGAUCACAUAAUCAACAGCGAUAAUCACAUGGCCA